UACGUAGGGGGCAAGCGUUGUCCGGAAUCAUUGGGCGUAAAGAGCGCGUAGGCGGCCCAGUCAGUCCGCUCUGAAAGUCAGGGGCUCAACCCCUGAAUGCGGGUGGAUACUGCUGGGCUAGAGUCCGGAAGAGGCGAGUGGAAUUCCUGGUGUAGCGGUGAAAUGCGCAGAUAUCAGGAGGAACACCGAUGGCGAAGGCAGCUCGCUGGGACGGUACUGACGCUGAGGCGCGAAAGCCAGGGGAGCGAACGGG
rnacentral:rRNA from 1 species